AUCGGGUGUUUUUUUAAGAAUAACUUUAGAUAUUAUUAUCAGAGUCCAAGGUUGUAUCAAACUCUCCAAACCCAUAUUGUGAAUAUGCCAAAUUCAUUCAUCAUCAGAAAAAUGGGUGUGCUCCAAAUCUUCAUCAUCUUCAUUUCUCAGCACUAUCACUAUCAUUAUUAUUUGCACUCACUGUUUUCUUUGCACACUCAUCUCUGUGCUUUUGCUUCAUUAUUGGACACCUCCUGCAACACAAGUCACAGAACCAGUGGGCUAACGAAACUAUGUGUGUUGUUCAAUUAUGGGGUCUUGUACUUCUUGGUUGAAUAUGCGUGUGGUUGGAUAUAGGGGGUUGUGCUCUGGAGUGUGGUGGUGUUGCUGGUCAGUAAAUUCCAGAGUUCGCGCUUACUAGUGUUUAGUGAGGACUUGUUCUUCCUCUAUUUGCUUUCUCCAUUCAUUUUCAAUGCUGGACCAUGGAGUUGCACUCAUGAUGUUUAUGGCUAUUUGUCAUACAUGUUGGCUGAGGUAUGCAUUUGCAGCAAUAUCAUUCAUUGCAGAGACUUUUAUAUUCCUUUAUGUUGGUAUGGAUGCCUUAGACACUGAUAAAUGGAAAAGCAGCAAUGCAAGUUUGUUGCUGUUGCUGCUCAUCCUCCUGGGUCUUCAUAUCACAGGAUUGGUAACCCACUUACUGGUAGAGGUGUAAUUCAGAUAUGGUGUAUUCUAAAUGCCAGUGUAGAUGAGGAAGAGGUGCCACCUUCAAUAGAAAAGUCAAAACAGGGAAAUAUAAACAAUGGGGCCAUGAAGGACAAAUCAACCUUAUCAAAGUGGACAAGAGGAAGGCCUAGAAAAAAACCAAUAGAAGACAAUGAGGCCAUAACAUCUUAAUCAAAGAGGCCUAGAGGAAGACCUAGAAAAACUCCGAUAGAAAAAUCUCUUGAUAAUUUUGACUGCAAUGACCAGUAUGUUCAAGGUCUUGCUGUUCAACUUUCAGAAAAUUCAUCAGAAGCACAUGCUGUGGAUGGGGUUCCUAGGGAUGCCCAAGAACAUUCUGUACAAGAAGAAAGUGGUAAAAAAAAAAAAAAAAAAAAAAAAAAAAAACGUUACCAGUGAGCAGCAUCUGUAUGUAAUCCAAAACCUGAAAGUCCUUUGUAGGGCAGAAUAUUGAAACAAAAGAAAUGAGCAGGGAGUCACAGUGAUGACACAAGUCCACUGUUAUUGACAUGAAACGAAGACGCGGGAUCUUCUGUUUUGAAUCAUCAAAUACAACAUAACUCUGGACAGGAACCUGCUGCAAGUGAGAAUAUGUCACCCAACGGUUCCUUGGGAAUCAGCUCAGGCAGUUUCUUGAUUUCAAAGGAUGUUGCUUUGCCAAGAGUUGUAUUAUGCCUAGAUCAUAAUGGGAAGGUUGCAUGGGAUGUCAAAAGGCGGCCCUCUAAUGCAUCUGAAUCCAAAUGUAAGCUUCGUAUGGGCUAUCUUGCUGGGGAAAUGGGAAUGGAUCUCUGGAAGUGUGGGAAGUUCCUCUUCCUUGUACAAUGAAAGUUAUCUAUUCUUCUGUGCAUCAGGAGGGUACUGAUCCCUGCUUUGUAAAAUUGGAGCCUGUAUUCAGAUGCUCAAUGUUGAAAUGUGGUGGCAUACAGAGUGAAGGAAAACGAAAACAAUAGAAGAGGGAGAAGAACCUCAAAUUUCGAAGCUAUUUACCGUCAAAUGCCCAAUGAAUAAGAAGGAGAAGAAGGAUGGUCCAGUUGCGGAGAAACCAUCGGAUUGCAAUGGUGAUAGGGUUACAAUUUUGAAGUUCGAUUAUUGUGUGGACAAUUACUUCAGAGCCAUCGAAACCAUAUCUAAGCUCUGUGGAGAAGAUGAUGAAGAUUAUUAUGCUCUUCAACAAACUGAAAUUCAGCGUUUGUCUUCCUCGCUCGCUUUCUUAAGGCAAAUACUAAACAAUGCUCGUCCUACUACUUUUAUAUAUGUAUGUAUGUAUGUAUGUGUUAGAGAUAUUAGUCCAGUUUUACCAUUGUGCUCUGUCUUACUAUUUGUAUUUGUAUUGCACAUUCUAAUUUUUGCAUGCAUUUUAUGUUUUAGUCACUGAACUUUGAAAA